rnacentral:rRNA from 1 species
GACGAACGCUGGCGGCGUGCUUAACACAUGCAAGUCGAACGAAGAGCGAUGGAAGCUUGCUUCUAUCAAUCUUAGUGGCGAACGGGUGAGUAACGCGUAAUCAACCUGCCCUUCAGAGGGGGACAACAGUUGGAAACGACUGCUAAUACCGCAUACGAUCCGACCUCGGCAUCGAGGAUGGAUGAAAGGUGGCCUCUAUUUAUAAGCUAUCACUGAAGGAGGGGAUUGCGUCUGAUUAGCUAGUUGGAGGGGUAACGGCCCACCAAGGCAAUGAUCAGUAGCGGGUCUGGGGGGAGGAACGGCCAAAUGGGGACUGAAACCCGGCCCAGCCUCCUACGGGAGGCAGGAGGGGGGAAUUUUCCGCAAUGGACGAAAGUCUGACGGAGCAACGCCGCGUGAGUGAUGACGGCCUUCGGGUUGUAAAGCUCUUUUAAUGGGGACGAAAGGUCUUCUUGGGAAAAGUUAGAAGAAUUGACGGUACCGGAAGAGAAAGCCACGGCAAACUACGU